rnacentral:misc_RNA from 1 species
UCACAGUUUGCACUGGCAGUCUUGUUAGAGUUCCCGACAUUACUCGCUGGCAACUAACAACAGGGGUUGCGCUCGUUAUAGGACUUAACCUGACACCUCACGGCACGAGCUGACGACAACCAUGCAGCACCUUGUAACUUGCCCGAAGGAAAAGCUGUUUCCAGCCCUGUCAAGCUACAUUUAAGCCCUGGUAAGGUUCCUCGCGUAUCAUCGAAUUAAACCACAUGCUCCACCGCUUGUGCAGGCCCCCGUCAAUUUCUUUGAGUUUUAACCUUGCGGCCGUACUCCCCAGGCGGAGGAAGGUGGGGAUGACGUGUCUAGGAGGGUG